UUUGGCCCUCCACCAUAACACACUUCUCUUGGCAGAAGAGAAGGAAACUAGGAGUUGCUGAGCAAUCUGUGUCUUCCCUUAGCCCAGGGCCCUUUGCUUCCAGCAGUUGGCUCUCCUUGUUCUCAGUCUUCUUAUCCUAGUUACUAGAGCUUUCUUAUGCAUCUUAAUUUUUCUUCUCUGGUUCCUUGAAGCUGGAGCUGGU
rnacentral:lncRNA from 1 species